CAAGGACACAAUUCAGCCCCGCGCCUGCCCGCAGAGGAGGGAACCACAUUCUUCCAGAGCUGCACGUGCCCCAAACCUCUCUCAGGGGAAAAAGGAGAAAAGAACAGAUACUCCCGAAAAUCAAAGGUUUGAUGAUCCAAAACAAAAAAAGACCUCAGCCUGACCUUGUGGAGCCUUCUUUCUGGGAAGUUAAAGAAUUUCCAGGAUUAGCUCAAGUCCUGAGGCUGCCAACUGUGACCAUCUACAAAGCUCUCUUAGGUUUCAUCCAGUGCUGGUCCCAGGGGUCCCUCCGCUUGACAGUGUCUGAGGAGUCUCAGGUCACAGAUUCAAGCUCUGCUGGCCAGGAGGAGUAUUUACUUGUCUUCACUCUCACCGAGGAAAGUUAACAUCAGAACACAAGUGUUCCAGGCGACCUCACUCAGGAAAACCCAGUGGCGUGUGCCAACAGACACAGUCCGGAGUGGGCAAGGACAAAGGCCUGAAUGGGAAGACUUAGCACACAAAACAAAACUGCAACCAGGGAAGCGCUGAGUGUGAACAUCUAGGAAAUACACAAGUAGGUUUUAAAUAAAUAACUGGAACUUUAAGGCUGUUUCCACGGUCCCAGACCCACAGUGUAGUUAUGACUCAUCUCAGCAACAACAUCCAUGACAAUGGGUUUCCACGAAGCUAGCUGAGGAAAUUUUAAGAACAAUUCCAAGGAACUUUUCAUUCAAGGACUCCGAAAUGAUACAGGGGAAGGGAAGGAGAGAGGGAGAGAAACAUCAAAGUAUGGUUCCCGGAACUGGCCUGUAACCCAGGCAUGUGCCCUGACUGGGGAUCGAAACUCAAUCCUCUGGUUUACAGGCCUGCACUCAAUCCACUGAGCUACACCAGCCAGGUCCCUUUCAGAAAACACCCAUUCAUGGAUGAGAAAACCAAGGGCCAGAGAUGUCCAAAGAAGCCAGCAGAAACGAUUUGCAUAUCCUGGCCAGCUCAUCAGCAGACAAUGACAUCUCUGAGCAACUGUUCCUGGAAAGUGACAUAAGUGUCAUCAUCGGAUGAUUUGUAUGCUAGACUAGGACCAGAGUGCACCCCCACAAGCGUCUCCUCUGUCCUUGCGCUAUCCAACCCUGCCCAGCCCUCUCCGUCCAUCCUGGAAGAUCAUGGUCACAGAAAAAUUAUCCUGCAUGAAAAGGAGCUAUAAAACUGCUUUCUAAACAUGACUGUCAUGUGCCAGCGGGGCCCAGCGAUGGGUAGGAGGUCUUUCAGACGCCUGGGGGAGAUGCUGACCUCUGGUUCUAGAGGAAAAGCAAAGUUCUCUUUAUCGAA